GACGAACGCUGGCGGCGUGCUUAACACAUGCAAGUCGAACGGAAAGGCCCUGCUUUUGUGGGGUGCUCGAGUGGCGAACGGGUGAGUAACACGUGAGUAACCUGCCCUUGACUUUGGGAUAACUUCAGGAAACUGGGGCUAAUACCGGAUAGGAGCUCCUGCUGCAUGGUGGGGGUUGGAAAGGUUCGGCGGUUGGGGAUGGACUCGCGGCUUAUCAGCUUGUUGGUGGGGUAGUGGCUUACCAAGGCUUUGACGGGUAGCCGGCCUGAGAGGGUGACCGGCCACAUUGGGACUGAGAUACGGCCCAGACUCCUACGGGGGGCAGCAGUGGGGAAUAUUGCACAAUGGGCGGAAGCCUGAUGCAGCAACGCCGCGUGCGGGAUGACGGCCUUCGGGUUGUAAACCGCUUUCGCCUGUGACGAAGCGUGAGUGACGGUAAUGGGUAAAGAAGCACCGGCUAACUACGUG
rnacentral:rRNA from 1 species